rnacentral:rRNA from 1 species
UACGUAGGGUGCAAGCGUUAAUCGGAAUUACUGGGCGUAAAGCGUGCGCAGGCGGUUUUGUGAGUCUGUCGUGAAAGCCCCGGGCUCAACCUGGGAAUUGCGAUGGAGACUGCAAGGCUUGAAUCUGGCAGAGGGGGGUAGAAUUCCACGUGUAGCAGUGAAAUGCGUAGAGAUGUGGAGGAACACCGAUGGCGAAGGCAGCCCCCUGGGUCAAGAUUGACGCUCAUGCACGAAAGCGUGGGGAGCGAACAGG